GCGUUAUCCGGAUUUACUGGGUUUAAAGGGUGCGUAGGUGGGUUGGGAAGUCAGUGGUGAAAUACUUUCGCUUAACGAAGGAACUGCCAUUGAUACUAUCAAUCUUGAAUACAGUGGAGGUAGGCGGAAUGCGUCAUGUAGCGGUGAAAUGCUUAGAUAUGACGCAGAACACCAAUUGCGAAGGCAGCUUGCUACACUGUUAUUGACACUGAGGCACGAAAGCGUG
rnacentral:rRNA from 1 species